ensembl:lncRNA
UUUUUUUUUUUUUUUUUUUUUUUUUAACAAUCCAGAUAGAGUGACAAUGCCAUCCAUUUCUGUUUUUCUUUCUUAGACCUGUAGGUAUAUACAGCACAGCAUCAUCAGCGCAUUGCCAAAAAACUGUUUUCCUUUAUUUCUUAAGAAACUACUUCAUAGGCGCCUGUGGUCCCAGCUACUCGGGAGGCUGAGGCAGGAGAAGGGCGGGAACCCGGGAGGCGGAGCUUGCAGUGAGCUGAGAUCCAGCCACAGCACUCCAGCCUGGGUGACAGAGCGAGACUCCGUCUCAAAAAAAAAAAAAAAAAAAAGCCGGGCGCGGUGGCUCACGCCUGUAAUCCCAGCACUUUGGGAGGCCGAGACGGGUGGAUCAUAAGGUCAGAAGAUCGAGACCAUCCUGGCUAACCCGGUGAAACCCCGUCUCUACUAAAAAUACAAAAAAUAGCAGCGUGGCGGCGCCUGUAAUCCCAGCUACUCGGGAGGCUGAGGCAGGAGAAUGGUGUAAACCCGGGAGGCGGAGCUUGCAGUGAGCUGAGAUCCGGCCACUGCACUCUAGCCUGGGCGACAGAGCGAGACUCCGUCUCAAAAAAAAAAAAAAAGAAAAGAAACGACUUCACUUUGACUUACAUAUUUAAAAUAGAAGUGUAGGGCCGGGCACAGUGGCUCACGCCUGUAAUCCCAGCACUUUGGGAGGCCAAGGUGGGUGGAUCACCUGAGGGCAGGAGUUUUAAGACCAACCUGGCCAACGAAACCCCAUCUCAACUAAAAAUACAAAAUUAGCCAGGCAUGGUGGCACAUGCCUGUAAUCCCAGCUACUCGGGAGACUGAGGCAGGAGAAUCACUUGACCCCAGGAGGCAGAGGUUGCAGUGAGCCGAGAUCAUACCAUUGCACUCCAGCCUGGGUAACAGAGCAAGACUCCGUCUCAAAAAUAAAAUAAUAGAAGUGUACAAUUUUCAAAACCUAAUUGAUCCAGGCCAUAAAAUUAAGGAAUAUCUAGCAGUACAACCCAACUCUGAUUGCUUUAAUAUAUUGUCAGUAAAGUCUUUAGGGAGCUUCAGGAUUGAAACUAGAAGACAUCUCAGUCACAUUCCGUAUUCCUUACAUUGUAGUACACGUUACGAUCUGCUGCUAGUAACUUUGUUGAGCUGUUUUUCGAUAAACUAAAAAUCUUAAUCAUUUGAGUUUUUACUAUAGACAUUGUCACUGUUUUGUUCACGCUCUUGGUGCUACAGAAGUGUUUAAACGUUUGACCAUCUCAUUUGUUCAUCUGUAGAUCUGUUGGAACGUGCCAUGAGACUGUGGUGUCAUUGAAAAUGACCUUAGGCCUUGGACUGUUGGAUAUAUGGAUAAGCUACUUUCAUGUAACCUGCAUUGUCAGCAAAUACUUUUCCACUUCCCUUCAGCCCUGCAUGUUUUACUGUGGAUAAACUGUGUUCCGUUAUGCGCCUGCUGUGUCCUGUUUCUGUGGUGGUGGUUUGUUUUGUUUUGUUUUAUGACAAAGCACAGCUGGCCAAGGUGUUAUCACAGGUGUGAGUAAAUGAGAGCUUCUUGCUGCACAUUCCCCAUCCAGUCACGAAGCACCGCAAGACACAGAACUGUAUGAAAGCUUAUUUUUACUUAGUUUCAUCUUAUAGUCGUGUUUGAACUUGUGAGUUUCUUUUACAUG